rnacentral:rRNA from 1 species
UUCGCAAUGCCCGAAAGGGUGACGAAGCGACGCCGCGUGAGUGAGGAAGGCCUUCGGGUCGUAAAGCCCUGUCAGGAGUUAAGAAAUAUAAGUGUGUUAAUACCGCAUUUAUUUGACGAAGGCUCCAAAGGAAGCCACGGCUGACUCUGUGCCAGCAGCCGCGGUAAUACAGAGGUGGCAAGCGUUGUUCGGAAUUAUUGGGCGUAAAGAGCACGUAGGUGGGUUUAUAAGUCAGAUGUGAAAGCCUUCUGUUCAACGGGAGAAUUGCAUCUGAAACUGUAAGUCUUGAGUAUAGGAGGGGAGAAUGGAACUUCUGGUGGAGCGGUGAAAUGCGUAGAUAUCAGAAGGAACGCCGGCGGCGAAAGCGACUCUCUGGCCUAUUACUGACACUGAGUGUGCGAAAGUUAGGGGAGCAAACGGGAUUAGAUACCCCGGUAGUCCUAACUGUAAACGAUGGGCACUAAGUAGAGGGGUUUU